GACGAAGGAUGCAAGCGUUAUCCGGAUUCAUUGGGCGUAAAGGGUGCGUAGGUGGCGCUGUAAGUCAGGUGUGAAAUUUCGGAGCUCAACUCCGAAACUGCAUUUGAUACUGCGGUGCUUGAGGACUGGAGAGGAGACUGGAAUUCACGGUGUAGCAGUGAAAUGCGUAGAUAUCGUGAGGAAGACCAGUGGCGAAGGCGGGUCUCUGGACAGUUCCUGACACUGAGGCACGAAGGCCAGGGGAGCAAACGGG
rnacentral:rRNA from 1 species